rnacentral:rRNA from 1 species
UACGUAGGGUGCAAGCGUUGUCCGGAAUUAUUGGGCGUAAAGAGCUCGUAGGCGGUCUGUUACGUCGGAUGUGAAAACCCGAGGCUUAACCUCGGGCCUGCAUUCGAUACUGGAUAGCUAGAGUUCGGCAGAGGGAAGCGGAAUUUCUGGUGUAGCGGUGAAAUGCGUAGAUAUCAGAAGGAACAUCAGUGGCGAAAGCGGCUUCCUGGACCAGAACUGACGAUCAGGCUCGAAAGCGUGGGGAGCAAACAGG